CUUAAGCAUAUCAAUAAGCGGAGGAAAAGAAACCAACAGGGAUUGCCCUAGUAACGGCGAGUGAAGCGGCAACAGCUCAAAUUUGAAAUCUGGCGUAAGCCCGAGUUGUAAUUUGUAGAGGAUGCUUCUGGGUAGCGGCCGGUCUAAGUUCCUUGGAACAGGACGUCAUAGAGGGUGAGAAUCCCGUAUGUGACUGGCUUGCACCCUCCACGUAGCUCCUUCGACGAGUCGAGUUGUUUGGGAAUGCAGCUCUAAAUGGGAGGUAAAUUUCUUCUAAAGCUAAAUACCGGCCAGAGACCGAUAGCGCACAAGUAGAGUGAUCGAAAGAUGAAAAGCACUUUGGAAAGAGAGUUAAAAAGCACGUGAAAUUGUUGAAAGGGAAGCGCCCGCAACCAGACUUUGCGGCGGUGUUCGGCUGGUCUUCUGACCGGUUUACUCGCCGCCGUGAGGCCAUCAUCGUCUGGGACCGCUGGAUAAGACCUGAGGAAUGUAGCUCCCUUCGGGGUGUGUUAUAGCCUCUGGUGAUGCAGCGCGUCUCGGGCGAGGUCCGCGCUUCGGCAAGGAUGAUGGCGUAAUGGUUGUCGGCGGCCCGUCUUGAAACACGGACCAAGGAGUCUAACAUCUAUGCGAGUGUUCGGGUAUCAAACCCCUACGCGUAAUGAAAGUGAACGGAGGUGGGAACUUUUUGUGCACCAUCGACCGAUCCUGAUGUCCUCGGAUGGAUUUGAGUAAGAGCAUAGCUGUUGGGACCCGAAAGAUGGUGAACUAUGCCUGAAUAGGGUGAAGCCAGAGGAAACUCUGGUGGAGGCUCGCAGCGGUUCUGACGUGCAAAUCGAUCGUCAAAUUUGGGUAUAGGGGCGAAAGACUAAUCGAACCAU
rnacentral:rRNA from 1 species